CAAAAGCUCCGUCUUUUGGUACUGAAAACAGAUCGAACUUCUUCUAGACUUGAAGGCUGCUGUUUCAGAAGAUUUGGAUGCUUCACAAAUAUCAGGGGAUGAACAGUUGAAAGUAGAUAAAUCGGUUUCUUCAUCAGAGUCCCUGACAACUCGCUCGGGAUUAUUCUGCAAGUGGAUAUUCAUUGCGACCUGGCGAGAUGGAUUUAAAGGUUGAUAGUAGCAACACUGAAGAAACAGAGUCAUCUCUUGGCGAGAGUUGUCAUCUCAAGUAUGAGUUAUCCACUCUGUAAGAGGCUGCUGCUGCAUUCUCCAUGUUAUUGUGCCGAUGGGCAGAGGAGGUUUAGAGUCCACAUGUUCCAGGGUGUCUUCCAGUUUUGGUUGCUGCUGCCUGGAGUUUCCUUCGACUGCCUGGGACUGCUCUCCUGUUCUGAGGCCGGCUUUUCCAGUCCAGCGCUUAAGCCUCUUGAAAAAUUUGAUAUGCUGCCUUUCUACAGGUUACAGUCUUACAUAUACCCUUCCGGCUUGCUGUCCAAGGAAAGAAGCUGCUCUCCCUGCUCCAGCCUCUGUACAACAAUUGUGCUCCAGGUUGCUGCAGUGGGGAAUUUCUGGGUUUUUAUUGUGUUCUGCUCUGCAGGUUCUAUGUUUACUUGGUUUGCUGCAGUCUGCAAGCCAAGAGAUAGCCUCUCUGUUCUGUGCAAUCUAGCCAGUUUUUCAUUCCGAUAGUGCAGCCUUCACGAAGCCUUACUGCCACUUAAUCUCUGGCGGAUAUCUUUGGCAUGUACUGCAGCCUAUCACCUGGGCCUGCUCCUCUUGUUUCUGUGCAUCAUUUGGACUUCCAGAAGACUGAACCUGUUAUCUCCACAUGGUCCAGCCUUGUCAUCCGGCCCAUAAAGGAUAGUGCCUACAGCUCAAGACUUUUUUAUUCUACCUCAACAGUGCAUACCUGCUGCUCUUUGGACAACCACUCCCAAAUGUACGAGGAGCCUGCUUAUCCUAGAAAAAAGCAGAUUCUUAGUUGUAAUUUUUGCCUUUUUGGUUAGCUUUUUGUUCAAUUUAGAUCCCCAGGACAGGCUUGCUCCCUCACUUGUACAGUUAGAUGAAAAAAAUUUGUUUGACCAUCUCUUAAACUCUAUCAUGGUAGGAAGCGGAGGUGUCCUUUUUUUUUUUUGUCUUUGCUUAGCUACCUUGG